rnacentral:rRNA from 1 species
AUACGGAGGGGGCUAGCGUUGUUCGGAUUUACUGGGCGUAAAGCGCGCGUAGGCGGCUUGCCAAGUUGGAGGUGAAAGCCCAGGGCUCAACCCUGGAACUGCCUUCAAAACUGGCUCGCUUGAGACCGGGAGAGGUGAGUGGAAUUCCCAGUGUAGAGGUGAAAUUCGUAGAUAUUGGGAAGAACACCAGUGGCGAAGGCGGCUCACUGGACCGGUACUGACGCUGAGGCGCGAAAGCGUGGGGAGCAAACAGGAUUAGAAACCCCAGUAGUCC